GGAGUCUGGACCGUGUCUCAGUUCCAGUGUGGGGGACCUUCCUCUCAGAACCCCUACCCAUCGAUGCCUUGGUGGGCCGUUACCCCGCCAACUAGCUAAUGGGACGCAUCGCCAUCCUGUACCGAUAAAUCUUUGUUGACAAUGUCAUGCGGCAUCGCCAAAACAUCGGGUAUUAAUCCUCCUUUCAGAGGGCUAUCCCGGAGUACACGGCAGGUUGGAUACGCGUUACGCACCCGUGCGCCGGUCGCCAUCAAGAGUAGCAAGCUACUCUCAUGCUGCCCCUCGACUUGCAUGUGUUAAGCCUGUAGCUAGCGUUCAUC
rnacentral:rRNA from 1 species